CAUACCUCUAAAAGUCCCAGUAUGCAAUAACAGUAAUUUGCUGAUGUCAGGUCAAAGUGCAGCUUAUAAUAUGGAGAGUAUGGGUUACAAUCUUAAUCGAGUGCAAGUAAUAAAUAAUAAAAAUUUAAACUAGGAGGACUUGAUUGUAAUAAGUGUCAUGUCACACUCAUGAAAACCAAUCUGAAACAUGCACACAUCGCCCGUCACUCCCUCCUCAAGGAGAGAUAAGUCGUAACACAGUAGGUGUAAUGGAAAUUGCACCUGU
rnacentral:rRNA from 1 species